rnacentral:rRNA from 1 species
UACGUAGGGGGCUAGCGUUGUCCGGAAUCAUUGGGCGUAAAGCGCGUGUAGGCGGUCCGGUAAGUCCGCUGUGAAAGUCGGGGGCUCAACCCUCGAAUGCCGGUGGAUACUGUCGGGCUAGAGUGCGGAAGAGGCGAGUGGAAUUCCUGGUGUAGCGAUGAAAUGCGCAGAUAUCAGGAGGAACACCAAUUGCGAAGGCAGCUCGCUGGGACGUUACUGACGCUGAGACGCGAAAGCGUGGGGAGCAAACAGG